rnacentral:misc_RNA from 1 species
AUUGCAUUCACAGUCAAAAGACAUAUACAGUGGCUUACAAAUACUUAUUUUGGAGUGUCUGAAAGCUGGAUAUGUACCUGAUACAAGUCUUGUGCUUCAUGAAGUAGAGGAGCAUCAGAAGAAAGACUUCUUGUUCUACCACAGUGCAAAACUAUCUGUAACCUUUGGGCUUCUUAUGACUAGACCUGGAAAACCUGUUCGCGUUAUGAAGAAUGUGCUUCUCUGUGGUGACUGCCAUACAUUCUUCAAAUAUGUUUCUGUUAUCACCAAGAGAGAUAUACACGUAAGAGACGCUUCAGGUUUUCAUCAUUUUGUAAAUGGUAAAUGCUCGUGCGGGGAUAAUUGGUGCUGA